GUGCCAGCCGCCGCGGUAAUACGUAGGUGGCAAGCGUUGUCCGGAUUUACUGGGCGUAAAGCGUAUGCAGGCGGACUUUUAAGUAGGAAGUGAAAGGUUGGAGCUCAACUCUAACACUGCUCCCUAUACUGGAAGUCUUGAGUGCCGGAGAGGAAGACGGAACUGCACGUGUAGCGGUGAAAUGCGUUGAGAUGUGCAGGAACACCAAUGGCGAAAGCAGUCUUCUGGACGGAUACUGACGCUGAGAUACGAAAGCCAAGGGAGCGAACAGGAUUAGAAACCCCAGUAGUCC
rnacentral:rRNA from 1 species